UUAUUGGGUUUAAAGCUCCGUAACCCGGUUAGCCAAGGUCCUGGUAAAAUCAACGACCNAAUCGUCGAGCCGCGGAAAUACUACUAGGCUAGGANNNGGGAGAGGUCGACGUACUUUCUGGGGUAGGGGUGAAAUCCUAUAAUCCCGGGAGGACCACCAGUGGCGAAGGCUGUCGACUAGAACGCGCUCGACGGUGAGGGACGAAAGCUGGGGGAGCGAACCGGAUUAGAUACCCGGGUAGUCCCAGCUGUAAACGAUGCGGGCUAGGUGUUGGGGUGGCUACGUGCCACUUCAGUGCCGCAGGGAAGCCAUUAAGCCCGCCGCCUGGG
rnacentral:rRNA from 1 species